CCAGACUCCUACGGGAGGCAGCAGUAGGGAAUCUUCGGCAAUGGACGAAAGUCUGACCGAGCAACGCCGCGUGAGUGAAGAAGGUUUUCGGAUCGUAAAGCUCUGUUGUAAGAGAAGAACGGGUGUGAGAGUGGAAAGUUCACACUGUGACGGUAUCUUACCAGAAAGGGACGGCUAACUACGUGCCAGCAGCCGCGGUAAUACGUAGGUCCCGAGCGUUGUCCGGAUUUAUUGGGCGUAAAGCGAGCGCAGGCGGUUAGAUAAGUCUGAAGUUAAAGGCUGUGGCUUAACCAUAGUACGCUUUGGAAACUGUUUAACUUGAGUGCAGAAGGGGAGAGUGGAAUUCCAUGUGUAGCGGUGAAAUGCGUAGAUAUAUGGAGGAACACCGGUGGCGAAAGCGGCUCUCUGGUCUGUAACUGACGCUGAGGCUCGAAAGCGUGGGGAGCGAACAGGAUUAGAUACCCUGGUAGUCCACGCCGUAAACGAUGAGUGCUAAGUGUUGGGAGGUUUCCGCCUCUCAGUGCUGCAGCUAACGCAUUAAGCACUCCGCCUGGGGAGUACGACCGCAAGGUUGAAACUCAAAGGAAUUGCGGGGCCCGCACAAG
rnacentral:rRNA from 1 species